rnacentral:rRNA from 1 species
GAUUUUGGGGUGAAGAUAGCCAUGCAGUCGAAUGGGAUACCUAAAUUUCCCAUGGCAAACUGCUCAGUAACACAUGAUCAACUUACCCUAUAGAGAGAUACAACCUCGGGAAACUGAGGAUAAUGUCUCAUAGUUGAAUUGGCUUGGAAAAGUUUUUCAAUAAAAGGAAUAAGAAAAAUGGUUCUUAUUUGCUAUAGGAUAGGAUCGUGCUCGAUUAUGGUUGUUGGCGAGAUAAUGGCUCACCAAGCCGAUAAUCGAUAGGGGCCGUGAGAGCGGGAGCCCCGAGAUGGGUACUGAGACAACGACCCAGGCCUUACGAGGCGCAGCAGGCGCGAAACCUCCGCAAUACACGCAAGUGUGACGGGGUUACCCAAAGUGUUCAAUAUUGAACUGUGGUAGGUGAGUAAUGUUCCCUACUAGAAAGGAGAGGGCAAGGCUGGUGCCAGCCGCCGCGGUAAAACCAGCUCUUCAAGUGGUCGGGAUAAUUAUUGGGCUUAAAGUGUCCGUAGCUGGUUUAGUAAGUUCCUGGUAAAAUCGGGUAGCUUAACUAUCUGUAUGCUAGGAAUACUGCUAUACUAGAGGGCGGGAGAGGUCUGAGGUACUACAAGGGUAGGGGUGAAAUCUUAUAAUCCUUGUAGGACCACCAGUGGCGAAGGCGUCAGACUGGAACGCGCCUGACAGUGAGGGACGAAAGCCAGGGGAGCGAACCGGAUUAGAUACCCGGGUAGUCCUGGCCGUAAACGAUGCAUACUAUGUGAUGGCACGGUCAUGAGCCGUGUCAGUGCCGUAGGGAAACCGUUAAGUGUGCCGCCUGGGUAGUACGGUCGCAAGGCUAAAACUUAAAGGAAUUGGCGGGGGAGCACCACAAGGGUGAAGCCUGCGGUUCAAUUGGAGUCAACGCCGGA